rnacentral:lncRNA from 1 species
AAGUCAGUUCACUACUCCAGCAAGUUUCCAGAUUACCUUAUGUAUUGAUGAAGUGGUCUCCAAAAUUUUCAGUAUGAAUUUGCUGCUGAAGCCAUUAGCCUGUUCAUUGUGCAUCAUUGGACAAGGCUGUGCAUUAUCAGACCUAGAUUCACCUCUCUGGACUUUCUAUUGCUUCUACCUUCACUGCUAUAAUUUUUCUGUAUGAAACUUUUAUAGUAGGCACCACUCGUGUACUGUAAUUCUUGUUGCUUAAUUUCUUACUCUCUCUACACCGAUGUUUUGUAAUCCACACAAAUCGGCCCCAAGAUUCCCUAUUUUUGCUUUGUGGUUUCUACUCUAAGAAAUGUCAUAAACCCUUUUUACUACACAAGGGAUUUUGAGGACAUGUAUAUCUGCCUCUGCCUGCUAUUUGCGUGUGGCAAUUUUGGUAUGGAUCAGUGUAGUAACGGUCAAUGUUUCACAUGGAGACCUGUACUACAAAGGCGACAUGCUUGUUUUCUUGAUGUUGAUUCUGUUUGGGAAUGUCUUUUCAUUUGCUGCUCAAAAUAUGAGUUACGAGUAGUUACUACGUAGCAUAAUUUGGGUUUUUAGAUUACAAAUGCAGUGUACUCAUCUCAUUGAAGUUGAGUACAACUGAAACUUGAGCCACUGCAGGCAAAUAACAUAGCUGUGUGCUAAUUACAGGCUUCUAGAAAUUUAGAGGGGGUCGCGUUUCUUAUACAUAUCACAAGAGUAUGAUGAGUGUGGAAAAUCAGAAUUGGGUACACCAUUUGAGAAGAUCCUGUCCUAAAAUUGGAUAAGCCAGCGCUGAACCUUUGUUGUGAUUGUCGCGUACUAAGUUAUAAUCUGGCUGAAAAAAAUUGAACUCUAAAAAGUAUUACCUCUGUUUGAAAAUAUAUGUAAAACUUCUGAUAGGCUAAAGGUCGUACUUUGAGAAUAUUUUGCUUCUCGUGGAGCUGUAGGUUUGCUUCCGCGACAGGCACAACUGUGUCUAUUUGAAAGAGAGAGAAAACACGUUUUUCCUUCCGUGAGAGGCACAUAUUUGCUUCUCGUGGAGGCUCUGGUUUUUCCCGGGUUUUUGUUAAAAAAAGUUCGUCAAAAUCUAUUAACAUGGAUCUAGUUUUGAAGAUCUCGAGGCAAGAUAUUCAAUGGUGAAAAAAGUUUGCGAUUUGGAUGCAUGCUUAAAAUAUAAAAUAUAUUGAAUAAAUAAAUCUAUGAAAACAGGAAAAUUCCAAGGUUGCGACAAGUGACGCACUGCAUGCAGGGUACCUCUUACCGCAUUCUGCGGCAGAAUGUUGUGGCCUCGCACAGGGCUGUCCUCCCACUGGGCCGGCCACGGGAGCUAUGAGCGGUGUAAAAAAAAACUAAGCGCCAGCUAGGAUUCGAGCUCACGUUCGCGCCGUCAUAGACACAGGUAGCUAGCCACUGUGGCCAAUUAGAGUUCAUAAUGAAUAUGUGGCAAGAUUACUUUAGAACUAGUAACAACCGUAGAUUGGAUUGUUUUUCCUUUUCUUAAUCAUUUCCUGAGAAUUCUGAUUAAUUUUUCAAAACAAAUCUGAACCAUUUUGACAAAAACGCAUAAGUUUUGAAUAUAUUUGACAAUUUUUGAAUUUGUAGCCAAAUUUUAAAAACAGGAACAAUUAUGGAAGUUGUGAUUUUUUUUAAAAAGGAACAUUUUUAAAAUUCUGACCAAUUUUGAUAAACACGAACAUGUUUUUGAAAAUGAGAUUUUUUUCAUUUAUGAAUAAAUUUUAAAAAAGGAAUAAUUUUUAAAUUUUUGAACAAAUCUUGAAACAUGGGAAUUUUUUUUAAAAUUCUGAAUAAUUUUGGGCAAUCACAAACAAGUUUUGAAAAAAAUGGGAAUAAUUUGUGAAUUUGUGGAAAACAUGAUCUUUUUUAGCAUUUGUGAACAAAUGUUGAACAACGAAACAUUUUUAAAAAUAUCAAACAAUUUUUGAUAACCAGGAAAAAGUUUUCAAAAAAUGUGAACACUUUUUGAAUUUGUAAAUAAAAAUUGAGAAUGGGAAGAUUUUCUAAAUUUGUGAAUUUUUUUUGAAAAUGGAAACAUUUUUGAAACUUUUCUGUGAAUCUCAAACAAAAUAAUCAGACAUCACAAUUUAUUCUGAAAUUCCAAACAUUUUUUUAAAACUAGCAAACAUUUUUACAAAAUUUUGAACAUAAUUUAGAAAUUGGAACAACUUUUUGAAUUCCAAACAAUAUUGAUUUCCAUGUUUUUUUGAAAAUAGUAAAAAAUGUUUGCAUAUAUCAGAAUGAAUUUGCUGCUGAAACCAUUAGCUUGUUCAGUGUGCAUCAUUGGACAAGGCUGUGCAUCAUCAGACCUAGAUUCACUUCUCUGGACUUUUUAUUGCUUUUACCUUCACUGCUAUAAUUUUUCUGUAUGAAACUUUUAUAGUAGGCACCACUCGUGUACUGUAAUUCUUGUUGCUUAAUUUCUUACUCUCUCUACAC